UGACAGUUGCAGAAGUUUUCGGGGCAUUGAUGUGGCGAUUAAAGUCAGCAAUAACCUAAAAAUUGUUGGUUGCGUGCUUUUUAUUGGCGUUCUUUUAAUGAUUGCUGGUGUUGAACCAAACCCAGGUCCGAGGGAAAAGGAUUCUGCCAGUUACCAGAGCGAUGAGGUUGCAGACAUAGAAAAAGGCACAG